UGCAAACCCUAGCCCCCAUUAAUCUCCAAACCCUAAAAACGAAUUUCUUCACUCAAAGAACUUGAUUUCUUCUUUCUAACAAGUCCGGAUGCGAUUCAUUCCGCUAAGAAUAUGAUUUUACAUCCUACUCGCAAGAUCUACGCGAUUUCUACGUUGUGUUCUUCGUUAGAGGCUUGUGGAUUAAAUUAAAUUCGGUCCAGCCCCUUGAACCUUGGGUUAAUACAUUAUUUAUCUUAUUGUUCAUCAUCCUUAGACACGUCGACUGCUCGUGCUUCGGAGUCGAAACAGGUUUAGUUGCUUGCCAGGUUUUUCACGUGGAUUUGCAAGCAGUUUAUGAUUUGAAAGCUGGUCCACUCCGAUUCUUUUGAUUCCUCGGAGGUUUUUAUGUUAUUUAAACUAGUUUCUGUUUUCAAACUCUUAGACCGCAGUAGAACUAGUUAUUUAUUUCAUUUGAUACUACACUUUGGGAUUGUCGAUAUAUUCGAUUAUUAUAUUUGGCAUGAUUACUCUGGAUUACGAUAUUGUUAUAUAUAAGGCAUGAUGUUGAACAUUUAA